AUGAACGCUGGCGGCGUGCCUAAUACAUGCAAGUCGAGCGAACAGACGAGGAGCUUGCUCCUCUGACGUUAGCGGCGGACGGGUGAGUAACACGUGGAUAACCUACCUAUAAGACUGGGAUAACUUCGGGAAACCGGAGCUAAUACCGGAUAAUAUAUUGAACCGCAUGGUUCAAUAGUGAAAGACGGUUUUGCUGUCACUUAUAGAUGGAUCCGCGCCGCAUUAGCUAGUUGGUAAGGUAACGGCUCACCAAGGCGACGAUGCGUAGCCGACCUGAGAGGGUGAUCGGCCACACUGGAACUGAGACACGGUCCAGACUCCUACGGGAGGCAGCAGUAGGGAAUCUUCCGCAAUGGGCGAAAGCCUGACGGAGCAACGCCGCGUGAGUGAUGAAGGUCUUCGGAUCGUAAAACUCUGUUAUUAGGGAAGAACAAAUGUGUAAGUAACUAUGCACGUCUUGACGGUACCUAAUCAGAAAGCCACGGCUAACUACGUG
rnacentral:rRNA from 1 species